rnacentral:rRNA from 1 species
GAGUUUGAUCCUGGCUCAGAUUGAACGCUGGCGGCAGGCCUAACACAUGCAAGUCGAGCGGUAGAGAGAAGCUUGCUUCUCUUGAGAGCGGCGGACGGGUGAGUAAUGCCUAGGAAUCUGCCUGGUAGUGGGGGAUAACGUUCGGAAACGGACGCUAAUACCGCAUACGUCCUACGGGAGAAAGCAGGGGACCUUCGGGCCUUGCGCUAUCAGAUGAGCCUAGGUCGGAUUAGCUAGUUGGUGAGGUAAUGGCUCACCAAGGCGACGAUCCGUAACUGGUCUGAGAGGAUGAUCAGUCACACUGGAACUGAGACACGGUCCAGACUCCUACGGGAGGCAGCAGUGGGGAAUAUUGGACAAUGGGCGAAAGCCUGAUCCAGCCAUGCCGCGUGUGUGAAGAAGGUCUUCGGAUUGUAAAGCACUUUAAGUUGGGAGGAAGGGUUGUA